rfam:Caenorhabditis japonica strain DF5081 Contig17151.5, whole genome shotgun sequence.
CCAACGGCCCUCUUUAGGGCCACAAUUGUUUAAAAGUCCGUGCAUU